UUGGACAGUACCAACUUUACCAUCAACGUCACGCGUGGUUAUGUACACUAGAUGUCUCCGAUCCAUGACUCUGACCGACGAUCACGAUCGUACAAAGCUUUGGGGUUCACGGAAAUACAUUUGCAACGAUUGCCAAAAAACAUUCGCGUUAAAGGCUUCUCUGGUAAGGCACAAGAUGUUCGAGUGUAACAAGAAAGAACAAAGGGAUCGUCAAUCGACGAGUCAAAAACAAAAUCUCUUACAAAGUUCGAGUAAUGGUCAUUCGAGUGCUACUACAAUCUCGGCUACGUCGUCUUCUACUAGCAAGACAAUUACUACCAAUAUCAUCGAGAGAAGAAGAUCGACGAGCAGGCACGCUUGUCCAAAAUGUAAUCGAUCCUAUGCAUUCUUCACUUCUUUAUGGAGGCAUCAACAUUACGAGUGCGGAGUUGAGCCACAAUUUAUUUGUCCUAUUUGCAAGGCCAAGUUCGCUCAAAAAAGUAACUUGGAUCGUCACGUACGAACUAAACAUUAGAUAUAUACGUACAUAUAUACAUACAUACAUGCAUACAUACAUCAAACAUACAUAUAUAUAUAUGCGUAUAUAUAUGUACGUAGAUAUAUCCAGUCCUUAAACCGCGGAAUUUCGUCUUUUUUUUUUCAUUCGUUUUAAGAUCUUCGUAAUUCAAUUCAGUUUUAGACACGCAUUUACAAAAUGAUGCGAUCGAUCGAUCUCAUGCAUUUUUCGUUUUACCAUGAUGGCAUCAAUAUUGCGAGUGCGGUGUCCUUUCAGUAUUCAUUUUUGUCUUAAUUUUGAUCGUCAUCUAUGAAAUAUGUAUUAGAUAAAUAUAUUCAUACGUACAUACAUAUAUACAUACGUACAUACAUACAUACAUACAUACAUACAAUACAUAGCACCGUAUCAUUUUAUAUCUUCGGAAUACAUAUUAAGUAUCCCUGAUAUUCUAAUAUUUUUGGAUAAUUAUCCAUCGAUUCAUUUUGAUCAUGUUCAUUCAUCAACCCAUAUUUACUUGAUAGUUCCCUACUGAGAGAAUUUUUCGAGUAUGUAUUCCAAUCUAUUUAUGUAUGCUUGUGCGUAUGUGAGUGAAUCUUUAGCUAGAAGUAUAGAGAACGGAUUCAUUGAAUUAGGUAUUUCAAUUAUGUUGUGUCCAAUCGCCGGAGCCGAUCGUUUUCGUUUGACUCGUUAAAAGGAAAACAAAAAAAAAGAUAGAAGAAAAGAGAAAAAGAGAGAACAAAAUAGAUAAUACAGGAAUAAAAAGUAAAGAAGAAAAAGUAAUAGGAAAAAAACCGGGGAAACGUUAAUUUUCCCUUAUAUCAUUCUCGCCAAAGAAGAAAUUUUCAUUUUUUUGCAAAUUGUUCUACAUAACGACAAUUUUUUUAUUGUAACGAAUUGUCGUUGUCGCCAUGUUGUCAUCCCGUUAUCUCGUUGCUCUUAUCGUAUUCUAUUAUUAUUAUUAUUAUUAUUAUUAUUAUUAUUAUUAUCAUCAUCAUUAUUAUUAUUAAUAUUAUUAUUAUUAUUAUUAUUAUUAUUAUUAUUAUUAUUAUUAUUAUUAUUUAUUGAGAAAGAAAAAUAUUCGCGUGUAAGGUCGCCAAGCGCAAGAAAAAGAAGAAGAAGAAGAAAAAGAAAAAAGAGAAGAAACAAUUGUAUUUAUGUGGCUUGUAAAUUAGUAAUUAAUAAAGAUGAAAGAAAGAGAGAAAGAGAGAGAGAGAGAGAGAGAGAGAGAGAGAGAGAGAGAAAUGGAGGAAAUAAAGUUCGCUCGAAAAUCAACUGCGUUUAUUUCCUUCGUUAUCAUAUAUGACGUAUCAAUAAUAACUUUAUCUGUUGACUAAUAAUUAUCAGUAGUAAAUGGUAAUACACCGGUGUAAAAGUGAAAAUAUCGGAAAUGGUUACUGUUAUCAACGAAUAUGUAAUGACGAGUAAUCGUUGAUGACUCAUUGGCUUGAACAUUAUCAUUAAGUUCAAGUUCGACAGGUAUUUGGAUCGGGACCAUUUUUAUGAUCGAUUCGUGGUCGAUCGUUUGUUGUGAUGUUUGUUAAAAAGUGAAGGAAAUAUUUUGUAUUUGCUUUAUCGUUGUUGUUAUUGUUGUUAUUGUGUUAUUUUUACUUUGUUUCGUUUUUGUUUCAUAGUUCGUUCGUUCCAUUUGGAAACAUCGACUGUACAUCGUUCCUGUAAUAAUGUAAUAAUCGAGGUACAAGAAAAUUCUCCUCACUGAUCUGUUCUACGUGUUCAGUUAAAUUCAACCAUAGGAACAAAUUCCGACGGCAUCUAUUACGACAUCACAUGGUUUAUCUCGCACCACGGUUCACCAUACCCAGACGAAUCUUUGAUUGAUCUUUAAUCCCAUACAUUGUUCUAUGCAUCCUCAAGAUGACCCAGUGCUUUGAUAAUCUUAUGUUAAACAAGGAGAUUACAAGGAUUUGAGAGGUAAAAAUGAUCGAAAAAAGGAAAUUUGGAGAGAACUAAUUCAAUUUGUUUGUUUUUUUUUCUUUCUUUUUUUUCUUUCUCUCGUUUUUCUUUUUCAGAUUCUUUAAGCAUGUACAAGUCUCGAAGAUUGCAUCGACAAAGGAAGAAUCAACGUCGAUAUCAACGAAGAAUCAACUUGAAGAGAAUAUUUUGAUAUAGAAAUAUAAAAAUAAAAAAAAUAAUAAUAAUAAAAGAAAGAAAGAAAUCUAUUCUCGAAGAAACUCGAAGAGAGUUGCAAAGUUAAAUGAAGUAAAUUAUUAAUUUCGUUAGAGAAUUUCUUCUAUGAUCAGCUAAAUAAAUAUAUACAUAUAUAUAUAUGUGUGUGUGUGUGUGUGUAUAAAUAUAAAUAUACAUAUAUGCAUACACACUCACACAUACACACACACACAUAUAUAUAUGUAUAUUAUAUGUCAUUGAGAACAUUAAAUUAAACAAUUUCGUUAGAUCAUCAUUAUCGUCAAUCUAUAAAAUCGUCUAAUCUUUCGAAUAAAUUUUCUGGGUUUAUUGACAGAUCGAAGAUUCACAUACGUAACACACGAUUCCCAAAACACGCUUCUCUUCGCUGCACUCAAUUCAAAUGACAAGGAGAAGAAUGAAUUUAAAAAACAACAAAAAAGAAACGAAAAAGCACAACAACAACAAAAAAAAUCAAAUUGAUAUCCUUCUUAACGUAAAAAGUGGGUCAAUGGUCCGCAUUCAUUCAGAAUUUUCUUUUCUUUUCUUGUUAAACAGAUUUGUCGAAGCCACGUUUCACCUGCGAAAAAUGUGGACGAAGGUACACGAUGCUUUGUAAUCUACGUCGUCAUAUGAAGUGGGAAUGCGGUGGGAAACGACAAUUUCCCUGUUACUACUGCAGCUACAAUUUCACACAAAAGACCAGUCUACAACGUCACCUGACAAGCAUUCACAAACUUUAUAUGUAGUUUAUACGAUUGAUUAAUUGGCCUGAUCUGUUGUUUUUUUUUUUUUUUUAGAUGAUACAUCGUGUCUAUCCUAAAUUAUCCAUCGAAUUUUAUAUUCCACGAAGAAAAACGAACGAUCCUGUUUUAUUCCCUACAUCCGUUUCAUUUUCUUUUUGUUUGUUUUUUUUUAUCUCUCUUUUUUAAUUUUAUUAAUGCUUGAAAUAUUUUUCUUCUUCUAACAGACUUAUUGAACUACGAAAGAAGCAAAAAAUUAUGAGAAAAUAGCAAUCGAUGGUUAAAAAUUCAUCUAUGACGAAUUUGCGACGAAAUUGAGAAAAUGCCGAUGUACAAAUUAUCUAUUGGCCAAUCCGAUAUAGAUUUCUAUAUGAUGUAUAUAAUAUCCCAAUAUAUAAAUAUAUAAAUUAAUAAUAGUAAUGAGAUAAUAAUAAUAGCAAUAAUAAUAAAAUCUUUCGUUAUUUCUUAUUAUUUCGAAAAAUCGCAACAAGUUCUUAUUUCUACGUUUUUAUUAGCGAAGUUAUCAUUUAAAUUCGCAUUAACUUGUCGAUUCAUUUUUUUCUUUUUCUUUUUUUAAUGUGGAUGUAUGUUGUUUUUUCUCUUCUCUUUUUUUUUCUUGGUGUCCUUCCAGGCUGGUCAUAACAAAACUUUUGAAUUUCUCUAUAUCCUUCAUUCCUCGUUGGAAUUAACAUUGAAAGUAUAUCGCCGAUGUGAUAAAACAUUAUUAAGAAUUAGAAAUUUGUUAUUGUGAUCUGAUAAUACCUACGAAUUACGUGUGAGAUUACGUGUUUUUAUUGGAAACAAAAAAAAAAUAAUGGAUCAUCAGUCAUCAAACGAGUCAUCUUUUGAAGAAACAUUAAGUUUUGAAGAGUUUAUAAUCGAAGAUAUAUGCGUUGAAGAUACUUGUGCAGUGCCACUACAAUAUGAAGAAAAUGAUAAGUUUGGUUUUAGUGAUCGUCAUUGAAGAAUUUUAUCAAGAGGAUCGAUCGAUCAUUUGGAUGUUAUGAUCCUUCUUCUCGAAGAUUUAUUUGGUCAAGUGAAUACGAACAAUAAUUGUUAUUUUUAAAUUGAAAUUGUUACUGAGAAUAGAAAUAAUAGUAAAAAAUGAGAAACAACGUAGUUCGAUUCGUAAUGUCUUAAAAAAUAAUAGAUCUAAUAAAGUUCAUACGAAUGUUAGAUUCUAUGAGUGUUAAAUAGUAUUCAAUCUAUAGAAUUUAAACGAAGUCCAAAAAAAAAGAAUAAAGAUAAUGUUAAUCGCUUCACGAAAUGUUAUCUAUACUAUGUUAAUUUUUUUGACGUUUCUUCUACUUUUUCCUCAUUUCAAAGUAAUAAUCGAUUUUUCUUUCUUGACAAGCCUCCUGUUUUCUUUUUUUCUUUAUAUUCUUAUUAUUUUAUAUUUUUAUACAGGUAUACAUAUAUAUAUAUAUAUACUUUUGAAAUAAAUAUAUAUAUAUAUAUAUAUAAAGUAUACAUAUGUAUGUAUAUAUAUAUAUAUUUAUUUAUUUAUAUAUUUAUUUUUCUCUCCCUUUUUUAAAAAUAUUGCCCUCUUUAUCCAUGUAAAUAAUUAAUACGACAAAAAUAUACGUCGUGGAAGAUCGAUCCUGCAUUUAACAAGUAGUUACAUCAAAUGCAAAACCGACAAGCCUUAUAUGUGUUCAAAAUGUAACAAGGGAUUCGCUUGUACCUAUUCUAUGAAACGUCAUCAGAGAACAGUAUGCGGUAAGAUAAGGAACACCAACGGCCAAUUUAAGUGUAAAUGUGGAAGAUCAUACCCGAA